UUAAGUUAUUAAGGGCGCACGGUGGAUGCCUUGGCACUAGAAGCCGAUGAAGGACGUUACUAACGACGAUAUGCUUUGGGGAGCUGUAAGUAAGCUUUGAUCCAGAGAUUUCCGAAUGGGGAAACCCAACAUGAGUUAUGUCAUGUUAUCGAUAUGUGAAUACAUAGCAUAUCAGAAGGCACACCCGGAGAACUGAAACAUCUUAGUACCCGGAGGAAGAGAAAGAAAAAUCGAUUCCCUUAGUAGCGGCGAGCGAAACGGGAAGAGCCCAAACCAACAAGCUUGCUUGUUGGGGUUGUAGGACACUCUAUACGGAGUUACAAAGGACGACAUUAGACGAAUCAUCUGGAAAGAUGAAUCAAAGAAGGUAAUAAUCCUGUAGUCGAAAAUGUUGUCUCUCUUGAGUGGAUCCUGAGUACGACGGAGCACGUGAAAUUCCGUCGGAAUCUGGGAGGACCAUCUCCUAAGGCUAAAUACUCUCUAGUGACCGAUAGUGAACCAGUACCGUGAGGGAAAGGUGAAAAGCACCCCGGAAGGGGAGUGAAAUAGAACCUGAAACCGUGUGCUUACAAGUAGUCAGAGCCCGUUAAUGGGUGAUGGCGUGCCUUUUGUAGAAUGAACCGGCGAGUUACGAUUUGAUGCAAGGUUAAGCAGUAAAUGUGGAGCCGUAGCGAAAGCGAGUCUGAAUAGGGCGUUUAGUAUUUGGUCGUAGACCCGAAACCAGGUGAUCUACCCUUGGUCAGGUUGAAGUUCAGGUAACACUGAAUGGAGGACCGAACCGACUUACGUUGAAAAGUGAGCGGAUGAACUGAGGGUAGCGGAGAAAUUCCAAUCGAACCUGGAGAUAGCUGGUUCUCUCCGAAAUAGCUUUAGGGCUAGCCUCAAGUGAUGAUUAUUGGAGGUAGAGCACUGUUUGGACGAGGGGCCCCUCUCGGGUUACCGAAUUCAGACAAACUCCGAAUGCCAAUUAAUUUAACUUGGGAGUCAGAACAUGGGUGAUAAGGUCCGUGUUCGAAAGGGAAACAGCCCAGACCACCAGCUAAGGUCCCAAAAUAUAUGUUAAGUGGAAAAGGAUGUGGCGUUGCCCAGACAACUAGGAUGUUGGCUUAGAAGCAGCCAUCAUUUAAAGAGUGCGUAAUAGCUCACUAGUCGAGUGACACUGCGCCGAAAAUGUACCGGGGCUAAACAUAUUACCGAAGCUGUGGAUUGUCCUUUGGACAAUGGUAGGAGAGCGUUCUAAGGGCGUUGAAGCAUGAUCGUAAGGACAUGUGGAGCGCUUAGAAGUGAGAAUGCCGGUGUGAGUAGCGAAAGACGGGUGAGAAUCCCGUCCACCGAUUGACUAAGGUUUCCAGAGGAAGGCUCGUCCGCUCUGGGUUAGUCGGGUCCUAAGCUGAGGCCGACAGGCGUAGGCGAUGGAUAACAGGUUGAUAUUCCUGUACCACCUAUAAUCGUUUUAAUCGAUGGGGGGACGCAGUAGGAUAGGCGAAGCGUGCGAUUGGAUUGCACGUCUAAGCAGUAAGGCUGAGUAUUAGGCAAAUCCGGUACUCGUUAAGGCUAAGCUGUGAUGGGGAGAAGACAUUGUGUCUUCGAGUCGUUGAUUUCACACUGCCGAGAAAAGCCUCUAGAUAGAAAAUAGGUGCCCGUACCGCAAACCGACACAGGUAGUCAAGAUGAGAAUUCUAAGGUGAGCGAGCGAACUCUCGUUAAGGAACUCGGCAAAAUGACCCCGUAACUUCGGGAGAAGGGGUGCUCUUUAGGGUUAACGCCCAGAAGAGCCGCAGUGAAUAGGCCCAAGCGACUGUUUAUCAAAAACACAGGUCUCUGCUAAACCGUAAGGUGAUGUAUAGGGGCUGACGCCUGCCCGGUGCUGGAAGGUUAAGAGGAGUGGUUAGCUUCUGCGAAGCUACGAAUCGAAGCCCCAGUAAACGGCGGCCGUAACUAUAACGGUCCUAAGGUAGCGAAAUUCCUUGUCGGGUAAGUUCCGACCCGCACGAAAGGCGUAACGAUUUGGGCACUGUCUCAACGAGAGACUCGGUGAAAUCAUAGUACCUGUGAAGAUGCAGGUUACCCGCGACAGGACGGAAAGACCCCGUGGAGCUUUACUGUAGCCUGAUAUUGAAAUUCGGCACAGCUUGUACAGGAUAGGUAGGAGCCUUUGAAACGUGAGCGCUAGCUUACGUGGAGGCGCUGGUGGGAUACUACCCUAGCUGUGUUGGCUUUCUAACCCGCACCACUCAUCGUGGUGGGAGACAGUGUCAGGCGGGCAGUUUGACUGGGGCGGUCGCCUCCUAAAAGGUAACGGAGGCGUUCAAAGGUUCCCUCAGAAUGGUUGGAAAUCAUUCAUAGAGUGUAAAGGCAUAAGGGAGCUUGACUGCGAGACCUACAAGUCGAGCAGGGUCGAAAGACGGACUUAGUGAUCCGGUGGUUCCGCAUGGAAGGGCCAUCGCUCAACGGAUAAAAGCUACCCCGGGGAUAACAGGCUUAUCUCCCCCAAGAGUUCACAUCGACGGGGAGGUUUGGCACCUCGAUGUCGGCUCAUCGCAUCCUGGGGCUGUAGUCGGUCCCAAGGGUUGGGCUGUUCGCCCAUUAAAGCGGUACGCGAGCUGGGUUCAGAACGUCGUGAGACAGUUCGGUCCCUAUCCGUCGUGGGCGUAGGAAAUUUGAGAGGAGCUGUCCUUAGUACGAGAGGACCGGGAUGGACAUACCUCUGGUGUACCAGUUGUCGUGCCAACGGCAUAGCUGGGUAGCUAUGUGUGGACGGGAUAAGUGCUGAAAGCAUCUAAGCAUGAAGCCCCCCUCAAGAUGAGAUUUCCCAACUUCGGUUAUAAGAUCCCUCAAAGAUGAUGAGGUUAAUAGGUUCGAGGUGGAAGCAUGGUGACAUGUGGAGCUGACGAAUACUAAUCGAUCGAAGACUUAAUCAA
rnacentral:rRNA from 1 species